rnacentral:rRNA from 1 species
GAUGAACGCUGGCGGCGUGCCUAAUACAUGCAAGUCGAGCGAACAGAUGAGGAGCUUGCUCCUCUGACGUUAGCGGCGGACGGGUGAGUAACACGUGGAUAACCUACCUAUAAGACUGGGAUAACUUCGGGAAACCGGAUCUAAUACCGGAUAAUAUAUUGAACCGCAUGGUUCAAUAGUGAAAGACGGUUUUGCUGGCACUUAUAGAUGGAUCCGCGCCGCAUUGGCUAGUUGGUAAGCUAACGGCUUACCAAGGCAACGAUGCGUAGCCGACCUGAGAGGGUGAUCGGCCACACUGGAACUGAGACACGGUCCAGACUCCUACGGGAGGCAGCAGUAGGGAAUCUUCCGCAAUGGGCGAAAGCCUGACGGAGCAACGCCGCGUGAGUGAUGAAGGUCUUCGGAUCGUAAAACUCUGUUAUUAGGGAAGAACAAAUGUGUAAGUAACUAUGCACGUCUUGACGGUACCUAAUCAGAAAGCCACGGCUAACUACGUG